rnacentral:rRNA from 1 species
UAGCGUAUAUUAAAGUUGUUGCAGUUAAAACGCUCGUAGUCGGAUUUCGGGGCGGGCCGACCGGUCUGCCGAUGGGUAUGCACUGGCCGGCGCGUCCUUUUCUCCGGAGACCGCGCCUCCUCUUAGCUGAGCGGGUGCGGGAGACGGAUCGUUUACUUUGAAAAAAUCAGAGUGUUUCAAGCAGGCAGCUCGCUCUUGCAUGGAUUAGCAUGGGAUAAUGAAAUAGGACUUUGGUGCUAUUUUGUUGGUUUCGAACACCGAAGUAAUGAUUAACAGGGACAGUCAGGGGCACUCGUAUUCCGCCGAGAGAGGUGAAAUUCUCAGACCAGCGGAAGACGAACCACUGCGAAAGCAUUUG